GCAUAACGCGAAGAACCUUACCAAGGCUUGACAUACACCAGAACACUCUAGAAAUAGGGGACUCUUUGGACACUGGUGAACAGGUGGUGCAUGGUUGUCGUCAGCUCGUGUCGUGAGAUGUUGGGUUAAGUCCCGCAACGAGCGCAACCCUCGUUCUAUGUUGCCAGCACGUAAUGGUGGGAACUCAUGGGAUACUGCCGGGGUCAACUCGGAGGAAGGUGGGGAUGACGUCAAAUCAUCAUGCCCCUUAUGUCUUGGGCUUCACGCAUGCUACAAUGGCCGGUACAAAGGGCUGCAAUACCGUGAGGUGGAGCGAAUCCCAAAAAGCCGGUCCCAGUUCGGAUUGAGGUCUGCAACUCGACCUCAUGAAGUCGGAGUCGCUAGUAAUCGCAGAUCAGCAACGCUGCGGUGAAUACGUUCCCGGGUCUUGUACACACCG
rnacentral:rRNA from 1 species